rnacentral:rRNA from 1 species
GAGUUUGAUCUUGGCUCAGAUUGAACGCUGGCGGCAGGCCUAACACAUGCAAGUCGAGCGGUAGAGAGAAGCUUGCUUCUCUUGAGAGCGGCGGACGGGUGAGUAAUGCCUAGGAAUUUGCCUGGUAGUGGGGGAUAACGCUCGGAAACGGACGCUAAUACCGCAUACGUCCUACGGGAGAAAGCAGGGGACCUUCGGGCCUUGCGCUAUCAGAUGAGCCUAGGUCGGAUUAGCUAGUUGGUGAGGUAAUGGCUCACCAAGGCGACGAUCCGUAACUGGUCUGAGAGGAUGAUCAGUCACACUGGAACUGAGACACGGUCCAGACUCCUACGGGAGGCAGCAGUGGGGAAUAUUGGACAAUGGGCGAAAGCCUGAUCCAGCCAUGCCGCGUGUGUGAAGAAGGUCUUCGGAUUGUAAAGCACUUUAAGUUGGGAGGAAGGGCAGUAAAUUAAUACUUUGCUGUUUUGACGUUACCGACAGAAUAAGCACCGGCUAACUCUGUGCCAGCAG